rnacentral:rRNA from 1 species
GACGAACGCUGGCGGCGUGCUUAACACAUGCAAGUCGAACGGAAAGGCCCGGCUUUUGUGGGGUGCUCGAGUGGCGAACUGGUGAGCAACACGUGAGUAACCUGCCCCUGACUUUGGGAUAACUUCAUGAAACUGGGGCUAAUAGCGGCUAAGAGUUCCCGCCGCAUGGUGGGGGCUGGAUAGAUUCGGUGGUUGGGGAUGGACUCGCGGCUCAUCAGCUUGUUGGUGGGGUAGUGGCUUACCAAGGCGUUGACGGGUAGCCGGCCUGGGAGGGUGACCGUCCACAUUCGGACUGAGAUACGGCCAAGGCUCCUACGGCAGGCGGCAGUGGGGAAUAUUACAAAAGGAUCAGGGGCGUGAGUCAGCAACGCCGCGUGCGGGAUAACGGCCAACGGGUUAGAGUCGGCUUUCGCCUGUGACGGAGCGGGAGUGACGGUAACGGGUAGAGAAGCCCCGGCUAACUACGUG